CUCAAUCACGGAGAACACACUUAAGGUAGCUCCCUACUCGCUUUCUCUGGACAACUAUUUAGAUAGACAUUGUCAGCUGGAAAUUUGAAGACAGCUCAUGGGAGGGACCACCAUUAUUUUGGCCAUGGAACAUGGUGACCGAUCCCUGUGGAAAAGCAAGGGAAUGAUGGCUAGGCCAAGAUCAGGGUAGCAGCACCACUACUAAAACCCUUCAACACCUGAAAUCCUACAAAUGGCUGAUAGAGUUCAAUCAUUUGGGGGCUCAUUUCUUCAGUGGAACUUCCUUCCAAAGUAUUCCAGGGACUUCCCUGGUGGUGCAGCGGUUAAGAAUUCGCCUGCCAAUGCAGGGGACAUGGGUUCAAGCCCUGGUCCGGGAAGAUACCACACGCCGUGGAGCAGCUAAGCCCAUGCGCCACAACUACUGAUCUUGCUCUCUAGAGCCCACAAGCCACAACUACUGAACCCAUGUGUGACAACUACUGAAGCCAAUGCACCUAGAGAAGCCACCGCAACGAGAAGCCCAUAUGCCGCAAUGAAGAGUAGCCCCGGCUCGCCAGAACUAGAGAAACCCCACACGCAGCAAUGAAGACCCAACG